AUGGCUGCAACCAAGGCACUGGAACUGCAUCUCAGUCGUCCCUAUCGGCCCCUUGAGUGUCGGGCCUGGUCUGAUCAAGUUCCUCUCCAGCCCGCACGCAGCAUGGCACCAAUGGCCGCAAACAUCACAACCGACCCAACUGCAGGUAUUCGCAGCACAGUCAAACUUGUGGCACACCGGGCACAUACAUGCGCCACAGAACCCUUUGUUGCUGGAGCAAAUCUUACACUCGCAAUCGUCCACAGGCAGCAUGCUCUUGCAGUUGAGGUUGCGGCACCGUGUCAUGAGGAACAUCUCCACGAGCUCGCUGCUUGGUACGCGGCCCUUGCCGGUGACAAACGCGGCCGAACCAGUCUUGAUGGCCACCAGGAUCUCCAACUGCGUCCUGUUGGCCCGCGCCAGUGCCUCGGCCGUCAGGUCCGACCGGCGCUCCAGCCUCCGCUGCAGGCUGGCCAGCUCGUCCGUCUUCUCCGGAGCAUCGACCAUGCUCCGCACCGCCGCCCGCAGCACCUCCAGAGACUCGCUGGGGAACUCCUGCAGCACAUGCGCCAUGGCCGACACAGAGUCCGACACGAUGUCCCGCAGGAUCCUAUCAGGCCGCGACGUAUGCCCGCCGCGGCCGCCGUCAAAGCUGCCCCCCGCGCUGGCCGCCGCCAUCUUGGCGGGGAGCUCAGUGGGGAAGAAGGCGGAGGUGCCCUCCUUCAUCGGCGGCGUGGCGAAGGCGACGCUGCCGUCCCCCAUGGGGCGGAAAUUGAAUCUGCUGUGCACGGAGCCGUUUGUUCCCUCCCCGGCGGCGUAGAUGUCGGUGGAGUUGUGCGUGAGGGAGCAGCUGGGGUUGUGCGAGAACAUGGAGUAGGAGUAGGACAUGUCGUCGGAGUUGAUGCUCCGUGUGCGGCCCGUGGUGGCGCUGUAGGUCCGCCUGGGGGGUGGCGCGGCGGCGGCGCCGGCCGACGCGGCCCGGAGAUCUCCAUCGGCGGCGGGGGCCGGCGGGAGCUGCUGCUGCUGCUGCGCCUGCCCCUGCCCGGGCCCGUCGGACGGGAGGGAGAGCGAGAGCUGCAGGGAGUCGAGGCGGGGCUUCUUCCCGCCGACCACGGAGGAGUCGUCCCCAGGGGGAUCGCCGCGCUUGGGCGCGGAGAGGUGGAGGAAGUCGCGCUCGACGCAGAGCUUGGCGUUGGCGGCAUCGGCCGCGGCGGCGUCGGCGGCGGGGUUGGGGUUGGGAGGGGAGGAGGAGCCCGGCGCCGCUGCCGCUGCGGCCGCCGCGGAAGCAGCGGCCUCGGCGGCGGCGGCGGAUGCGAGGGUGGGCUUGUCGCAGAGGUAGCUGCUGAGGGUGAGCUCGCGGUUGGGGAAGGGCUGGUCGGCGGGCGGCGGCGCGGCGCCGGGGUCCUUGGAUCCGUCGGAGUCGCCGAACAUGGCCGCCGGAUUCGCGGCGAUUUCCUGCGGGCUGCUGCGGGGCGCGCGGGGGUGGGUUGGGGUUGA
rnacentral:rRNA from 1 species